rnacentral:rRNA from 1 species
GACGAACGCUGGCGGCGUGCUUAACACAUGCAAGUCGAACGGUGAAGCUCCAGCUUGCUGGAGUGGAUCAGUGGCGAACGGGUGAGUAACACGUGAGCAACCUGCCCCUGACUCUGGAAUAAGCGCUGGAAACGGCGUCUAAUACUGGAUACGAGAAGGGUCCGCAUGGGCACUUUCUGGAAAGUUUUUCGGUUGGGGAUGGGCUCGCGGCCUAUCAGCUUGUUGGUGAGGUAAUGGCUCACCAAGGCGACGACGGGUAGCCGGCCUGAGAGGGGGACCGGCCACACUGGGACUGAGGAAAGGGCCAGAAUCCUACGGGAGGCAGCAGUGGGGAAUAUUGCACAAUGGGCGAAAGCCUGAUGCAGCGACGCCGCGUGAGGGAUGACGGCCUUCGGGUUGUAAACCUCUUUCAGCAGGGAAGAAGCGAAAGUGACGGUACCUGCAGAAGAAGCACCGGCUAACUACGUG